rnacentral:snoRNA from 1 species
ACGAAAUGAUGUUGAUCAAACAUCUGACCUGAAAUGAGCGUGUAGACAGAUUUAAUGCUUAAGAA